rnacentral:lncRNA from 1 species
UGCUUACGCGCGCGUGCGCUCGGCAGUGUCGGCACGCGGCAAUUGGUCGAGCGUGUUGUAAUUUAUUAGAACCUCGCGCUCUUAUGGCUCUGCCUCCAGCCUUCGCUAGUAAUAUCUGGUCGAAGACCGAGAUGGUGUUCGGAUGAAUAAAAUCUGAGGUGAAACUGUUUAGUUUUUCGUCGCGUUUUGAUUUUUUCAACUUAAAUAUUAAUUGAUAAAUAAAUGUAGUGAGACGAAAUGUCAUCUGGAUACUGAUCGUUGGAAAACUCCCAUAGAUCAACUGGAAAUGGCCACCAUCGUGGAAAACCUGUCAGAUGGAGGCUCGAAGAAGGACAGAAUUCGACUGGCCAAAGAAAGAAGAGAGGAGAAAGAUAAGAGCCAAGCUGUGCGGGAGCGAGCUCUCUUGGAGAAGGAGCAGCGUGCACAGCUGCAGUAUGAACGCUCGCUGGUGGAGCGAGGGAGGCGUCUGGAGGAGCAGCGGCAAAAGGAGAUGCUCCGUCGUUCCGCCGUGGAGGAGAAAAGGAAGCAGUGCAUGGAGGAGGAAAAGGUCAGGGGUUACAGCCAAACUUUAUUCUCUUUGGGGUAUGCACUCAAAGGACAGAUAUG